GCGGGUGUAGCUCAGUCGGUUAGAGCGUCUGAUUGUGGUCCAGAAGGUCGUGGGUUCAAUUCCCAUCACUCGCCCCA
rnacentral:tRNA from 1 species